rnacentral:tRNA from 1 species
GUUCUUGUAGUUGAACUACAACAGUGGUUUUUCGUGUCACAGGUUUCGGUUAAAGUCCGAGCAGGAAUU